ensembl:misc_RNA Y_RNA Y RNA
AGCUUGUCUGAGUGCAGUGGUGUUUACAACUGGUUGAUCACAACUGGUUACAGAUUUCUUUGUUCUUUCUCUACUCUCACUACUUUACUUGACUAACCAAAA